rnacentral:rRNA from 2 species
UUGACCUCAAAUCAGGUAGGACUACCCGCUGAACUUAAGCAUAUCAAUAAGCGGAGGAAAAGAAACUAACAAGGAUUCCCCUAGUAACUGCGAGUGAAGAGGGAAAAGCUCAAAUUUUGAAUCUGGCAGUCGUUUUGGCUGUCCGAGUUGUAAUCUAGAGAAGUGUCUUCCGUGCUGGCCCGUGUACAAGUCUCCUGGAAGGGAGCGUCAUAGAGGGUGAGAAUCCCGUCUUUGACACGGACUACCAGUGCUAUGUGAUGCACUCUCGACGAGUCGAGUUGUUUGGGAAUGCAGCUCAAAAUGGGUGGUAAAUUCCAUCUAAAGCUAAAUACAGGCGAGAGACCGAUAGCGAACAAGUACCGUGAGGGAAAGACGAAAAGAACUUUGAAAAGAGAGUUAAACAGUACGUGAAAUUGCUGAAAGGGAAACGCUUGAUGUCAGUCGCAUUGACUAGGGAUCAACCUUGCUUAAUCGCUCGGUGUACUUCCUAGUUGAUGGGUCAGCAUCAGUUUUGAUCGUCGUACAAAGGCAAAGGGAAAGUGGCACUCUUUAGGGAGUGUGUUAUAGACCCUCGUCGGAUGCGUCGGUUGGGACUGAGGAACUCUGCACGGACUAGCUUUUGUGCAUGGAUGC